GUGAAUCAUCGAAUCUUUGAACGCAAAUUGCGCUUCCUGGCAUCCCGGGCAGUAUGCCUGUUUGGGGGUCAGUAUUAACGAAAAAUCGGAUUGGUUGCAAAUUGUGACGUUUCCGGAGUUUGGGCUGUCUUAACUUUUUUGGUUAAGGAGCAUAAAAUUGACCUUUUUUGCGCAUUUUUAGACGUACUUAACUUUUUUUUUUUAUUCGUCUAUUCUUACUGCCGAAAUCUUAUUAGAUGCGAUCACAUCGUGUGGUUUCGUGGCCG
rnacentral:misc_RNA from 1 species